rnacentral:pre_miRNA from 1 species
AGUUGGAUAGUUGGGUCAUAUGGUGGUUCCAUUCCAAGUUUUUUGAGAAAUCUCCAUACUGCUUUCCAGAGUGGUUGCCCUAUUUGCAGUCCCACCAACCAU